UGGGAUACGGUGGCCGUGAAGGACACACCAGACAUCAGCCUUCAGUUUUCUCACAACCAAAGUUCAUGUCAGCAACAACCUUUCUGUAACGGAAAUAAUGCAGAAAUUGUGAUUUGUAAGAAAAAAGCAAAGUCAGGAAACGUGAUCAAAGCUUGAACUGAUGUCAACCUGAACUUGUUCUUACAACCGUUUGGGUCGCGCCUCCACGACCAGUCGGUCACCAUGACAACCGUGUGACACCAGAAAGUUCUGCCACCAGUAAACCACUGCUGGAACCAUCAGCUGCAAUCAGAUGAAAUCCCAGCGAGUAUCUGCCGCGUGCAGCUGUCUGCUCCUCACACAGUGAGCCGGAGGUCCUUGGACUUUCACUAGAGAAGCACCAAACAAAAAAGACGAGCCAAAGAAGCGACACUCCAGCCUCGAUUUUUCUCUUAUUCAUUAGGCUGAGCUCACUCUGUGCCGGUGAUCCGCAGGUCUGCCUCCCAUAUGCUCCCACUAAUGAGGUCAGGCUGAGCCGGAGAGGUCCAGCUGCCUUAUAAUCAGCCUCCAUGUUUGUGUAUGCUAAUGAUCUAGCGGCUAAUAAUCUCAUUUAGAAACCUGUCAACACUUCAACUACUCCUACUGAUUAUGCUGCAGAACAUCCUGUUUUAAAUACGGGAUAGGUGCAGUUCAACACUUCAGGGAGCCGUUUGUUUGGAGGAAUCGGCAGCAGCAGGUCAAGCUGGCUGUGUUUACAUCCACAGUAACGUCCUGAUAUUAACCCCUUCCAGACGUCGCUUUGAAAAAGAGCCAGGAAGUCAGAAGAAGUUUCAUCACUUGAUCUGGACCCUGAUUACUGCUUCACAGAUUCUGGAUCUGUUCUGCCUUCCUGCUGAUCUGGAUCGAUUCCCUCAGCAUCGAUUAUUGGGUCGUGAACACGGUAACCUCUGACUCCUCCAUGAUUUGCCCUCAGAAUCGGAUCACUGAGUUCUUUGACUUAGUUUUCUCAGAACAUGUCAAACAGACGUGGUAUAUCAGGCAGCUGUCUGGAGCCAACAAACCCAAAGUCCGUCCAUCCAUUUCCUUUCCUGUCCAGUGGGGUGAGGAGGUUCUGGUGCCUCUCCAGUGAACGUUUCAGGUGAGAGGCGGUGUCACCCUGGACGACAAUUAUUUUAAUAAAUCAAUCAAUAACCA